UACGAAGGGGGCUAGCGUUGCUCGGAAUCACUGGGCGUAAAGGGUGCGUAGGCGGGUCUUUAAGUCAGGGGUGAAAUCCUGGAGCUCAACUCCAGAACUGCCUUUGAUACUGAGGAUCUUGAGUUCGGGAGAGGUGAGUGGAACUGCGAGUGUAGAGGUGAAAUUCGUAGAUAUUCGCAAGAACACCAGUGGCGAAGGCGGCUCACUGGCCCGAUACUGACGCUGAGGCACGAAAGCGUGGGGAGCCAACAGG
rnacentral:rRNA from 1 species